rnacentral:lncRNA from 1 species
CUACGAACCCCACGGGAGGGGUCAGUGCCCACCAGCAGGCUCCUUGGCACCAAGCCUCCAUCUUCUUCCCGGGGUGGAGGGAGAUGUCAAGCCUAGAAGCCUCAGCUGGCCUGUUCUUGGGCGCCUGGCCUACCACCCGCCCCAGCCUCACCCGCAGGGUCUCCAACUCCUUGCGCGCCUGGCUUAGCUGUUUUUCCAGUUCUGCAAUCUUGGCCAUGGAUUCGUUCUCCGCGUCCCGAAGCCGCUCUGUCAGCUGUAGCACCAGCACAUGGUGAGCCCCGACCCGCAGCCCGGCACUGGCACCGCCGGUGAGGGGGCGGCAUCAGGCAUGCCUGCCUGGAAGACUGGGGGAGGCUCCCAGAUCCGCUCAGCCCAGGUGCCAAGGGUGGGCCGAGCCUGGCACUCGAACCCAAGCAAAUAAGGAGAGGAAACCAAGUUCCUCCAUGUGCUCCAGCACAGCGUUCUUGGUCUCUGUGUCCUCCAGCAGCGCCCCCACAUCAAAAAUAUUGUCCAGAUGGCAAAACUGACACUGAGAGAGAGGAAGAGGCCUAUCCAAGGUCACACGGCAGGCAACGGCAGAGCCAGGAUUUAAACCCAGGUCUACCUGACCCCAGCACUCAUGCUGCUAACCACUCAGCCAUACUCUGCCGUGGGCAGGCAGUUCAGUCUGGGGGGCAGUACAGGGCUUACCUCCAAGUACAGGUCCAGGCCCAAGUGGGUGAACUCAUAUUGCAGGAAGACACGGAAGUUCAUGUUCUCCACCGAAUGUACCACAAUGUUGAUGAACUGCAUGCAGGCCACCUGGGAGCCAGGGACAUGGGGAGAUCUAUGAUCCUCUAGGUGGGGUUGCUCAAUGCCUUCCACCUCCACUUACCCCAAGCCUCCCUCCUUCUCCACAGUUCUCACUCCACUAACUCCCAGCCUUGGCCUGCCCAACAUUUCACCUCCAUGUUCCCUCAAUCCAGCCCCCUGCCAACAUCCACCCUUCCCCUACUGACCACUCAGUCCUUACGCUUUGCGGGGGCAGAGCCCAUUGCCCAGCACCCAGGACCCUAGCUGCUCCCUGCACCCAAGAGGGCCUGGCCCAGGCCUCAGGCUGCUGGGCUCCUGAGCUCACCAUGAAGUCGAUGUUGCUGUCCUCAUUCCGGAAAUAUUCCAUCAGCUUUUCAAAGCGGUGCUGCUCCCCACACACCUGGGUAAGGGGAAUGGCUCUCACUGAGGCCCAGUGACACACGUCCUAAGCUACCUUCUGGCUGCCACACCUGUGCUUCAACAGGCUCCUCUCCAGUUAAUUCUAAGUUGAGCCACGUCACUCUUCUGCUCAAAACCUCCACUCCCUCUCAAUCUCCCACUCUCCCUCACUUUUUCCACUCUGGCCACACUGGCAUCCUGGCACAUUCCCACCCCAGGGCCUUUGCACUUACUGUUCCAACUCCCUGGAGUGCCCUCACUCCCACACCAAGUCCCUUGCUUCCUUCACAGCUUUGCUGAAAUCUCACUUGCUCAGUGAGGCCUUCCCUGACCACCCUGCAACCAAUUCCCCCUCCCUCUGCAACAUUGCUGGCUUUUUUCUCACAGCAUUUAUCAUUUCCUAACAUACUAUGUAAUUUGCUUGUUUAUUAUAUCGUUUCUGUCUUUCCCUAUAUGGUUUCCUUUGUUCACUGAUGUGCCCAAGUGCCCUGUUCCUGACACAUAGUAGGCACUCAAUAAAUAUUCAUUAAAGGAAUGAAUGAAUGAAG